rnacentral:rRNA from 1 species
AUACGUAGGUGGCGAGCGUUGUCCGGAAUUACUGGGUGUAAAGGGCGUGCAGGCGGAUGAGCAAGUCUGAUGUGAAAUACCGAUGCUCAACAUCGGGGGUGCAUCGGAAACUGUUUAUCUUGAGUGUCGGAGAGGAAAGCGGAAUUCCCAGUGUAGCGGUGAAAUGCGUAGAUAUUGGGAGGAACACCAGUGGCGAAGGCGGCUUUCUGGACGACAACUGACGCUGAGGCGCGAAAGCGUGGGGAGCAAACAGGAUUAGAUACCCUGGUAGUCCACGCUGUAAACGAUGGAUACUAGGUGUAGGUGGUGAAUAACCAUCUGUGCCGGAGCAAACGCAAUAAGUAUCCCACCUGGGGAGUACGGCCGCAAGGUUGAA